CCUCUCUCAGGAUCACACCUGGAGAGUUUCCAGAACUCUACUAGUCCCGGCUACAGGAGGGAGAGUCAAGCAGGGACAUACCCAUUCCUUUCCUAGUUUGAGCAGUGGCUAGUGAGUGGAGGUCAAUCUGCUACAAGU